UGACGAGUUUGAUCCUGGCUCAGAUUGAACGCUGGCGGCAUGCCUUACACAUGCAAGUCGAACGGCAGCACGGGUGCUUGCACCUGGUGGCGAGUGGCGAACGGGUGAGUAAUACAUCGGAACGUACCUUAUCGUGGGGGAUAACGCAGCGAAAGUUGCGCUAAUACCGCAUACGCCCUGAGGGUAAGCGGGGACCGUAAGGGCGUCGACGUCGAUUAGAGCGGCCGAUGUCUGAUUAGCUUGUUGGUGAGGUAAAAGCUCACCAAGGCGAUGAUCAGUAGCUGGUCUGAGAGGACGAU
rnacentral:rRNA from 1 species